UAUAUAUAUAAAUUUUUUAAUAAGGGCGGAUGUAGCCAAGUGGAUUAAGGCAAUGGAUUUGUGAAUCCACCAUGCGCG
rnacentral:tRNA from 1 species